AUGCUAUUCCCUCCGUUCGAAAAUACUUGUCAAGGAAAUGGCUAAAAAUGAAUAUAUCUAUAACUAAGAUAUGUCUAGAUACAUCCAUUUCUUCGACAAGUAUUUUCGGACGGAAGGAAUGGUAG
rfam:Triticum urartu cultivar G1812 contig791897, whole genome shotgun sequence.